rnacentral:rRNA from 1 species
UACGUAGGGGGCAAGCGUUGUCCGGAAUCAUUGGGCGUAAAGAGCGCGUAGGCGGCCCAGUAAGUCCGCUCUGAAAGUCAGGGGCUCAACCCCUGGAUGCGGGUGGAUACUGCUGGGCUAGAGUCCGGAAGAGGCGAGUGGAAUUCCUGGUGUAGCGGUGAAAUGCGCAGAUAUCAGGAGGAACACCGAUGGCGAAGGCAGCUCGCUGGGACGGUACUGACGCUGAGGCGCGAAGGCGUGGGGAGCAAACAGG